rnacentral:rRNA from 1 species
CAAUAGCGUAUAUUAAAGUUGUUGCAGUUAAAAAGCUCGUAGUUGGAUUUGUGGUGGUCCCUGUGGUCCAAAAAUGGUACUUUCGGGGACUGCCAUCCUUGGGUGGAUCCUGUGUGGCAUUAGGUUGUCGUGCAGGGGAUGCCCAUCGUUUACUGUGAAAAAAUUAGAGUGUUCAAAGCAGGCUUAUGCCGAUGAAUAGAUUAGCAUGGAAUAAUAAGAUAGGACCUCGGUACUAUUUUGUUGGUUUGCGCACUGAGGUAAUGAUUAACAGGGACAGUUGUGGGUAUUCGUAUUGCAUUGUCAGAGGUGAAAUUCUUGGAUUUCUGCAAGACGAACUAAUGCGAAAGCAUUUACCAAGGAUGUUUUCAUUAA